UGUUAUUGGGUUCGCUGGACUAUGCGUACACGAAUUAAGUAUAAGUAAUAUGGAUUUACUAUUCGCUCAUUAUUUCCAGGUACAUACGACUAUACACCGAUUAGUGAUUACCGAGGGAGAAAUACAGUUUAGUAGUGAUUAGUGAGUAAGUGUACAAGCUAGAAAAGUCCCUAAAGAAAAUCGCCCUUCUUCUUCUCCUCCGUCCUCGUCUCUACUAUUUUGGUUCAGUUAAACUGACCGUUGACUGAUUGAAAACCAUAAAAAAAAAAUAAUAACAAUAAAAACACACCGGUAAUAAUAAACCCAAAUCGAUAUAAUAGUUUACGAAAAUAUCGUAUUCUCUCGAGCACCGGGCAAACUGCAGUAGUAUUUAGUAUUAUUCGACGAAUUUUAAAUUGUGUGUACUACCCGUUCCGACCUGGGCGUAAAUAUAUAUACGCACGUUUUACGUAUCAUUUAUUAUAACUUCCGUAGAAUAACUAACCGGAAAUCCGUUUCAGACGAGGUCCGCGCCGGAUAAAGAGAAUAGGUAUAAAAAAAAAAAAAAAAAAAAAAAAAAAAAAAAAAAAACGGAAAUCCGAAAUCUUGAAACCCCGAGGAGUCGAAAUAAAGAAGGAAAAAAGUGAAAUAGGCGUUCGGCUAUUAUAGUUAAAUUUAUCUUAUCCCCUGUAUAUAAUAGGUAUACUAUAAAAUAUAUUACGCAGUAUAUACCGAGCUAUAAGUUGAAAUUUAUUUUAGUGCGUAAAGGUUAAAUGUACCUAUAGAUUUCAUUUCGCAGUGUACGCAAAAAGUCCCGUAUUGGUACCUAAACCUCGUGUAGUCGGACACGUUGGAAACAAAAUAAAGCCGUGUAGGUGUGUGUGUGUGUGUGUGAAACUUUACCGUUAGCCUUUAUCGUGUCGGCGAUCCACAAAAUUGGCUUUGUUCAAAAACGGACGAAACUAAUUUAUUAUAAUUGGCCAAUAGGUACCUGUUGGCUUAUAUACGCGAAACGUCUUACAUUAUUAUAUACGGUAUCGGCGUAAGGUAUUAAAUCGUUUUGUUAUAAUUAUUUGUCAUUUCUCUUGUUGACCUUUGUUCACGACAAAAAAAAAAAAACAAAAAACAAACAACACCAAUAAUAACAAUAAAUUAAUGAACGGAUAUAAAUUUUAUAAUAGUUGCGAGUUUAACGAAACGCGAAUUAUUAUAAAACGUCUUUUUGUGUGUAAAACUUUCACGGUGCUCUUUUGUGUUGUAUAAUUAUACACAUUGUGCGUGCCUCACAAUGACUGUUCCGUAUUUUACCGAGCUGCGUAUAUAUUUUGGGUAUUAUUAUAAUAAUUCAAAUUGAUUUUACCUAUUCGCGAUUAGACAUUUAAACAGGAGUGGGACAAAUGAAAAAUUGUCUGGACGGGAAAACUGUGAUAUUUCCGACACAUCCAGUGUUAUAACCACAAUGAUAUUAACAAUAAUGAAACACAACAACAGCGAGUAUAAAAAUAUUUUAAAAAAAAAAAGAAGCCAC